rnacentral:lncRNA from 1 species
UGGAAUAAGGAAGAACAUUUAUUGGGUGUAUGUAGAAAAGGAAGGACAAUAUCUCAGGAAGGCAUCAGAUUUUGGUGUACCAUUUAAUUAAACCAGCUAUGAAACAAGAGUGGCCCUGGACAGUUUUGGCAACCCAAACAAACUGAAAGUCAGAUAGAGACUGCAGCAUUGCUUCUCUCUCUUCUCCAGUUAGCUUAUUAGGUCCCCCAAAAUCUAUAUGGAAAUUAAGUCAGGUGCAAAUAAGAAACCCAUUAACUCACGAAAACAACAAGAAACCAUACAAAUAAAUUACAGGAA